AGUCGUAACAAGGUUUCCGUAGGUGAACCUGCGGAAGGAUCAUUACCUAGAGUUUGUAGACUUCGGUCUGCUACCUCUUACCCAUGUCUUUUGAGUACCUUCGUUUCCUCGGCGGGUCCGCCCGCCGAUUGGACAACAUUCAAACCCUUUGCAGUUGCAAUCAGCGUCUGAAAAAACAUAAUAGUUACAACUUUCAACAACGGAUCUCUUGGUUCUGGCAUCGAUGAAGAACGCAGCGAAAUGCGAUAAGUAGUGUGAAUUGCAGAAUUCAGUGAAUCAUCGAAUCUUUGAACGCACAUUGCGCCCCUUGGUAUUCCAUGGGGCAUGCCUGUUCGAGCGUCAUUUGUACCUUCAAGCUCUGCUUGGUGUUGGGUGUUUUGUCUCGCCUCUGCGUGUAGACUCGCCUUAAAACAAUUGGCAGCCGGCGUAUUGAUUUCGGAGCGCAGUACAUCUCGCGCUUUGCACUCAUAACGGCGACGUCCAAAAGUACAUUUUUACACUCUUGACCUCGGAUCAGGUAGGGAUACCCGCUGAACUUAAGCAUAUCAAUAAGUCG
rnacentral:rRNA from 1 species